CCAUUGUCUUGUCACAAAGACAUGCAGGUGGCCAGUGAGAGAGGCCAACCUAGGAAGACUGGAGGAACUCAGUUAACCAUCAGCAAGGAGUGAAGACGGGCCAGAAUCUCCAGGGACUUUAGAAGAGCUGAGAGAUGGCUAGGUUAGUCCAUCAUCCUCAGAACAGAGCAUGUUGGAGUGAAGGAAGAUAUGCUGACUGAGAGUUCUAACUUGGGAUCUGAAGGCAGCAGGAAGAGAGAGACCCUGGGCUUGACUUGAGCUUCUGAUGCCCCAAAGCCUACCACCAUUGACACACUUCUCCCAGUAAGGCCACACCUCCUAAUUCCUCUCAAGUAGCACCACUCCCUAAUGAUCAAGCUUUCAAAUAUAUGAGCCUAAAAGUCUUAUUCUUCUUCAAACCACCACAUUUCAUUCCCUGACCACCAUAGACUAGUAUCCAUGUGAUAAUGAAAAAUGUGUUUAGUUCAACUUUAAAAGUCUCCAUAGUCUAUGUGGUUUGCAACCUCUUUGUUGCAACCCCUUUGAGGGCAAAUGAUCCUUUCACAGGGGGUCACCUGAGACCAUCGGAAAACACAGAUAUUUAAUUACAAUUCAUAACAGUAGCAAAACUACAAUUAUGAAGUCUCAACUAAAAUAAUCUUAUGAUGGGAGGGGUCACCACAGCAUGACAGUCUGUAUUAAAGUGUUGUAGCAUUAGGAAGACUGAGAAUCACUGCCAUAGUCUAUAACAGUCUGGAUGCUGUUUAAAAGUCCAAAGUUCAAAAUCUCUUCUGAGGUUCAUGCCAAUCUCUUUUAUUUUUUUUUCCAGAGCUGAGGACCAAACCCAGGACCUUGUGCUUGCUAGGCAAGCGGUCUACCACUGAGCUAAAUCCCCAACCCUCAUGCCAAUCUCUUAAUUGUAACCUACCCCCUAUAAAAUCAAAAUUAAAAGCCAGACCACCUAUUUCCAACAUACAAUGGCACAAAGUAUACAUUACUACUCCAAAAGGGAGAGAAGCCCCACACUGAGGAGUUGUUGAACCAAAGUAAAGAUGAAAGCCAGCAGAGUGAUCUUUAAAUUCUGUGUCUCCAUGUCUGGUAUCACAGCGCUCUUGAGAUCUACAACACCUUUCAACUUUGUUGACUGCAGCAUACUUCUCUUUCUUGGGCUUGCUCCAGUUCAUGUUGGCAGCUUCCCUUGGCAAGUAUCCCAUGACUCUGGCCAAUCUAACAUCUUAGGAUCUCCAAUACAAUUCAAGUUUCAUCUUCACAGAUUCACUCAAUGGCCUCUCUGGACUUCCAUGAAGGGAUACUCCUGCCCCAUGCCUGGCCUCAGUGGUUUUCCUUAGUCAUGGAGGGACAUUCCAUAACCCUUUCUUGUAUCCGUGACUCUAAAGUCGGAAGCACAUGGCCAAAGCUGCAAAGUUCUGCUGUAUGUUGGGUCUGGAACAUGGCCUUCUCUUUCAAGUACAUCUGCAUCUGCUUUCUGCUUUUGAUGGUUUUCUUCAGUACUUCAGCUUUUCUUUAAUUCCUUUUCACAAGGUGGAAGCUCAUCUGCAUGGAGUCUUGCCCAGAGCUUACCACUCCUGCUAUUCUAUUGAGGAUCAGGUUUUUCUUUAAACUUUCUAUCUCCUUGAGCACUGGAAUUAGCUCUAUUAUACUUCCUGUUGGACCUUUUCUCUCCAAACUGUACAUUUUGUUUUUUCCCUCGCUCAGCUUGCUCCCUUUCAUUAUAGAUCUGUGUAAGAGUAACCACUAAUAGCCACAAGGCAGAGCCAAUACUAGAUUGCUUUGAAACCUCCUCUGCCAAUGCCUUUAAUCCAAAACUCUUGAAUUUAGCCUCAGGCCAAUUUUUCUUUUUCAUUUUCUUUUCUCUUCCUUCCUUUUACUUUUUUAACAAGAGAGAAAAAAAACUAGAUUCUUCACUAAAAUAUUACAAGAACAGUCUCUAGGUCACUUCCUAACCUUCUUGUUCUCUGAAAUCUCUUGAGCUGGAUCUUUACAAUCUACAUUGCUCUUAGCAUCACCGUCUUCCGUGUUUAUGCUAGCACAGCCCAUUAAACCCUGCUUAAAGUAUUCAACCGCUUUCCUAAUCCAAAGUCUCAAAGUCCACAUUCUGCCAACAAGCAGCAUGGUGCCUGUCACAGCAAUACCCAGCUCCCUGAUACCAGCUUCUGUCUUAGUAGUGUUCUGCUGUUGUGAAGAGAUACCAUGACCAUGAUAACUCCUAUUUUACAAAAAGCACUUGCUUUAUUGGUGCUUGCUUACAGCUUCAAAGGUAAGCUCUAUCAUUCUCAUGGCAUGGACAUGGCAGCAUUCAAGUGGAGAUGAUAUCUAAGAGUUCUACAUUCAGAUCUGAAGGCAGAAGGAGGAGAGGGACUCUUGGCCCGGCUUGAGCUUCUGAAUCCUCAAAGCCCACCUCCAGUGACACAGUUUUUCCAUCAAGGCCACACUUUCUAAUCACUGUCAAGUAACACCAUUCCCAAAUGACCAAGCCUUCUAAUAUAUGAGCCUAUGGGAACCAUUCUUACUCAAGUCACAAUACUCUGCAUUCUUCAAUAAACUAAUAAGCCCAAGAAAUGCUCAAGUUUUCUUUGGGAAAUAAUGAAGUCAUGGGAGCUCUGAUGAGAACCAAACCUUUAGUAUAUCUAGAGGACAGAUAGAGGAACAAGAAUGAUUUAACCUUCAUACAUUUCUGAAUCUCCAGUGACUAUUCAGAUUUCAGGGACAUAACAAAGAACUCUUCUCAUCUAACAAGCAUACCUUGAAUGUCUCUGACUCACAAGGUGUUACAUGGUGCUAUAUAGGGAAGAGGGAGAAAGAUCAAUGUACUUCAGAGCUCACAAUCUUCUCAACCCCAAGUGGUGGCACACUCCUUUCUCCCAGCACAGCUGAGGGCUGAGGCCAAAGCAGAUGAAUUGCCACAGCCUGGUUCUGCUUAUGGCUCCAGGGAUAUUCAGGCACCAGUGCACUCCAGGACAGAACAAAUCUUGUCUGGGCAGGAUUUGCAGGAAUUCAGUAGUCUUGAGAGCCUGGAGGGAGAAAGAAGCCUUCUCCAAAACAGCUUUUAGUGUCACAGUUCUUUUUAUUUGGAGAUGCAUGGGGGCAGGGUGGGGGUAGAGUAACAAAGACUUUAUAAACCUUGGGGAGUGGGUAGGAGUUUUUGAGGUGAAAGUACUUUAUUGGCUAGCACAGAGAAGCUGGGAAUGCUUCAUUUACAUGAAGAGGAAAUCCAGGUACUUGCUGGAUGUGCCCUUAUGAAAAAAAGAGGAAGUUAAACCUAUAAUUUGGCCACCAGGCUACAAGACUACUUCAAUGGUAGUGGAGGUAGGGGUCACAAAGCUAUGUGCAUUGGGUCAUGCAGGCCCAGAACAGGGAGAAAACGAUCCUUACUCCUGCCCAUCUCAAGAAGAGAUUUUGGGAUUUGGAUAUAUCUCUACCUCACUCUUGCCCUAGGCCUGUUUCCUCCUCCCAUCCUUUUCUCCCUCCCCCUUUUCCCACUUACCCCUACAGAUCACCAUGAGUUCCAAAUCUCUGCUGAGCAUGUGACUUCUGAAUCGUGAGGUGAGAGGACUGGAAUUGUGUUUUCUCAAAUAGCUAGUGUCUGGUUGUGCCUAUCAGUUACAAGAAAGGCUCCAAGCUCCACCAUAGUACAUCAUCAGCCUUGGGCUUUCUAAGCUGCGAAAGAUUCUCCCUUCUCUUCUAUCAACUGUGUCACCUAGUACAGGACACACCUCUGCUCUGCAGUGUCCUAAUGUACAAACUUGAGAUAAUACUCUUCUCAUAGGUCUGUUUUAAGGAUCAAAUGAACCAAUUUUUAAAAAGUGUUUAAACAAGAUCCUGGCAUUAUAAAUAGUAUAGAAUUGUUUAUUGUUGUUAUUUAUUACCUUAGAGCUUCAAACUAGGGUCUAUUAAAUACUUCAGAGGAGGGGACCAUAAGUAUCUUCAUGGAUAAGUAACAUUACAAAGCCACAUGACCUUAACUUACUUCAGGAACAGCCCCACCAUCUCAAGAGAGGUCAAAAUGGGUGUGGCCAAAAGAAGAAGACAGGACCAGAGAAAGGAGGGAGAAAGCACCAUGAGGUGAACCUUCAUAUAUCCUUAGAGAAUAAAUGGAAUCUACUUGUUCAGUAUCAUGUAUAAGUCUUCUUUACUCUGGGUCCUGCUCAUAGGCAGGACAGGGCCAUGGGCAAAUUUGAUUGGCUAAUGACUACUGCCUUGGAAGGUCCUAGACCCACACUAUUGAAAUGUGAAGCACCAUCCAGUCAUGUGUCCAUUGCACUAUCUCUGAUGACAGAGCCGGGGGAAGCUCCCAGAGGAAUCUGCCUGUAUGUUUGAGGACUGGACAUAGUUUCAGGCUGUUUUCCUGCUUUGAGACAAGUAGCUAUGUUCCAUGCUGGGAGGUCUUGAAUAGAUCACGUGCUACCCAGUUAAACAGAUCUAAACAUAGUCACUCUCUUCACAUACUAUUAAACACAGCUACAUUCGAACAAUGUGUAGGUUGAGAGAAGCACCUCCCACCGUAAGAUAAUUGGGAGUGAAGUCACCGUGACAACUUGAAUAACUAAAUUAACCCUAUUACAACCUGUUUUCACGGGGUCAAAGGCUUUUCAAUGGGAUAAUUCAGGUGUAAAAGAAAGCACUCCACAUUCUGAACACCUUGUAACACGUGCUGAAACAGCGGGCAGAAGCAGCAAAUGAUCUGACUUAGCUCAGAAAGGUGGAAUGAAUUCCGAAUAGCAUCCGGCUCCAAUUCAAGUUUCGGUAGCUUGUGAAAGGACAUUUUCAUUUCUUUUUAUCCAACUUUUUAUUCAACUUUUUAUUCAACUUGUUUGAAUAUUGAUUAAAUAACUAGAAAUUAAGAUCAGGUGAGGUGGCACACACCUUUAAUCCUAGUACACUGAAGACAGAGGCAGGUGAAUCGCUCUGAAUUCGAGACCAGUCUGGUCUACAGAGUUUGGCUCCAUAAUGACACCCUGUUUCAAACAAAACAAAAUCUAGGAAAAGAAAAUCGAAUCGAAGCAACAGUGUGACUGAAGAGUUGAUUUACUGAACUCAGAAAUCAUAAAAAAAGUAUUUAAAAGUUGAUGAUGCUAAGGGUUUGUGAUCAUGGAGUAUGUACUCUGGGGGAUUUUUUUUCCACAGAAAUCCCAAGAACUGUGCAGAGAAUAAGAUCCACUCCCACACCCUAUUCUUCUUCUCUUCUGGAGGAGUAAAAGGGCAUUGAGAAGACCAUAUAUUAAGCUACAGGGAUAUAAGUUCCUUCGGGGCAGGAAUUACUACAGCCUGGUUUUGCCCUCUUUCCUUUCCUCAGCCUCUGGUAAACUGGUAGUCCACAGUGACAAUCAGCAGAUACUUACAUGUAAACUAGGACAUAGAAGUUAUACUUUUAUAUUAAAGACUUAUAAAUGCUGAGUUAGGGAGGUGACUUAGUCAGUGGAGUGCUGUGUUACAAGUACAAGGACCCAAGUUUAAUCCCCAGGACCCCCAUUAGAAAAACCAGAGGCCCCACAAGGUGGCACUUGUAUAUGAUUCAAGAGUAAGGAAGGUGACAUAGGCUGAUCCCUGGGGUUUUCUGGCCAGCAGGCUUAGACUACUUGAAAGUUCCAAGCAAGAGAGUGAUUGUGUCUCAAAACAACAACAACAACAACAACAACAACAACAACAAAAAUAGUAUUUGACACUGAGGAAUGACACCCAAGUUAUUCUUUGGCUUCUACAUGCUUGUGCACACAUACUCUAAUGUGCAAAUGUGUUUGCACAAACACACAGGCAUACAAACACAAAAUAAAAAUAAAACAUAUAAGUGCUCUACAUCAGGGAUAGAGUAAGCAUUAUAUGGGCUAAUAAUACAAAAAUGAUAUAAAUUUAAAAAUGAUACUGAAGAAGAAAAUCUAAUAGUCUGUAAACACACAUUUACUACUUAUUAUCUCAGAAUAGCUAGUUUUAAACAAUAUGCAUACCAUUACCUUAAUUCUCCUCAAAUUUUUGUGUAUAAAGAUAGUAAACCAGAAUUUAUACACUAAACUGUGAAUACCAUGGUUAUUAUGUUUUACUCCUAUUUUACAUUUUUCUAAGAUAAGAAAAAUUUCUCUAUAUAAUAGCACAUUAUUAUAGUGCUAUUACUAUAGUACUAUAGUAUAAUAUUACGUUAUAGGAAUAGGGCUGUAGGGACACACAGGAUGCCUACUAUCAAGAAGAAACAGAUUUUUUCCUCAGUACCCAUAGGGAGGAAAGCCAAGACCAAUGGGCAAUUGGUAUUGAGAAACUAAGUUUAGCUUACCGUAAACUAUCUCAACUGUUCAGCACAACAGUGUGCUACACCUAGAAACGGCGAAUCCCUUGUUCCUACACAUGAGAAUCCAAGAGGCUAAAUGACAAGAGCUAACGUGUUAGAAAUGAACUCCACGUCCUCUAAGCCUGGGGCUGGAAGACUCAGUGUGUAUUGCCUCACAGUCCUCUUUGCCACUGUCUUUUCUAACAAGGAAUGGGUUUCUUAAAUAUCCUCUGAAAUACUUUGUGAGAUCUCUACAGUGUCUACCUUAACCUGCUAUGCUACUGCAUGAUGAGUUCCUAGGUUUUUCCAAUCAUUCAUGGAUUUUCAAGAAUGGUGUCAUGAUCACCAUGGGCACUUUUUAGGAAGGACCGGUUUUUUGUAAGCUGACAGCUUCCUUCAUUUAUGGACACAGAAGGUGCUCCCAAGGAAGGUAGAAGCUAGAUGAAGGCAGAGAGCUGUGAAUUAAAGGGAAGGAGUCAUCUGUUUACUUUUGGUUUCUCUGGGGCUUGUUCUAAUUGAAGUGUCCCUGAGUAGUCACUAGCUUCCCCACUCACGGUGUUAAACUUUGAUUGACAGCAAAUUACAGUAUAGUUCUGACUAUUAAUUUGGAACCAUUUGAAAUAGUUCGAGCGAACAUGAAUUAGAUUUACAAUUUGAAUAACACUCCACAAACCAGUUACAUAUUAUCUUUUGAGUAUAUACUGAUAAUGACUUUUGAAAUUGUUCAUUUUUGAGCAGGGAAUAUGGGUGUGAUCUACAAAGAGAACACCUUGUCUGGUCUGAAAUGACAUUGGGUAACCAACUCAGUUCUCUUCUGAGUUUGGUACAUAGCAGGGUAGAGUGAGAAAUAUAUUUGAUGCAUAACCAGGUGCAUCAACACUGCCUUGGAGGAGAUCCCAGCCGCUGUCAUAGAAUGAAUCAAACUUUAAUGCUGGUAUAAAAACAAAUUUGGUUAAGUUUGUAGAACAGUGAAAGUGUUGAGAAUGUCUAUUUAUUUUGUGACAAAAUUCUAAAACUAUCUAAGAUGUACACGGUCUCUCUAACAAAACAGCUCAGAGCACCAGUUUAAACCCACCCAUUGUUCACUUGUAUGAUCAGUUUCUUGGAAUACUUUGGAAUGACCAUCUGGACCCUCUUGUGAAGGGUGAAAAAGAAAAGGAUUAAGACUAUAAAACCACCCGAAGCUGUGUAUGCCACAGAAACUGAAGCCACACUUUCAGGAAAGACUGCUUAAACAUCACACUUCUCCCCCUGCCAAGAACUCCUGGAAAAUCAUGAGAAAUGCAGGGAUGGAAAUGGAGAAGAGCCUGAGGAAAAGAAGGUCCAACAACAGGCCCAAAAUGGGAUCCAGCUCAAGGGGAGGCCUCAAGACCUGACACCAUUACUGAAGCUAUGAGACAUUCACAAAAAGGACCUGUCAUGACUGCUCUCCAAAAGACCCAACGAGCAGCUGAAAGAGUCAGAUGUAGAUAUCUGCACCCAACCAACAAGCAGAAGCUGCUGACCCCUUUGGUUGAAUUAGGGAAAAGCUGGAGGAAGCUACAGAGGAGGGCAACCCUGUAGGAGGACCAGCAGUCUCAAUUAACCUGGACCCCUGAGAUCUCUUAGAUACUGGAUCAUCAACCAGGCAGCAUACACCAGCUGAGGUGAGGCCUCCAACACAUAUAUAGUAGAGGACUCCCUGGUCUGGGUUUGGUCAGAGAAGAAGUAUCUAAUUCUCAAGAGACUG